GAUGAACCCAAAGACAGCAGUAUAGGUUUUAAAGCAUGCUGACAGCUCUGUUGAUCUAUGAGCCACAUGAUGAAAGAUCAGAGAUAAUAUUUUGAGAAUGUCUUCCCAUUACUUCUAACAGUGAAAGCACUAUGUGAAGACACCUGACAGAGGCCUGACUGGCCAGUCAGCAGCUCCCCCUCCUUAUUGACUUCACUCCACUACAUGUUCUCAUCGUCCGAGCAUUCCCUCCACCACGCCGAAAAGCUGUCUCUCAUUUUCCCACUGCGCUCUGGUCUGCACUGGGGGCUUUAAAGGGGGGCCGGGGGUGCGGACCCCAAACGACGUGGCAGAGUGUGUGCGUCUAUACGCCGACCAGCAAAACCACACACCCUAUGAGGACAGUCAAAUGAAUACGAUGGGAUUCGUUCACAUUUCCCAUAAAUGAUUUCUGUCCACUACGGUCUCUGGAAUGAAUUACCAGGGCUGCCAGUAAUUCAUCAACGGCUACAUCAGUUUAGAGAGGAAUUUCACUGAUACCAACCAUGCAAUUUCAAUAACCAUCGGAGAGGUUACGGGGGGAUAAACUAACAGACAGACAUGGAAGGAAUGGGAAGAAAGGCAGUUCACACAGGAUAAAGUCAAACGAAUAUGAUGGUGAUUGUGUUUUAUUGGAUAUCUGUGUGUAUC